rnacentral:rRNA from 1 species
UACGGGGGGGGCAAGCGUUGUUCGGAAUUACUGGGCGUAAAGGGCUCGUAGGUGGCCAACUAAGUCAGACGUGAAAUCCCUCGGCUUAACCGGGGAACUGCGUCUGAUACUGGAUGGCUAGAGAUUGGGAGAGGGAUGCGGAAUUCCGAGGUGUAGCGGUGAAAUGCGUAGAUAUCUGGAGGAACACCGGUGGCGAAGGCGGCAUCCUGGACCAACACUGACGCUGAGGAGCGAAAGCCAGGGGAGCAAACGGG